UAUGCUCAUGCUUUGCACAGAGCAGCUGAAGCACGCCUAAUGCAGGCUGCUGAUUGUUACAGGCAGUUUUAAAGUGCUGCCCCCCCAAAACACCAAAUGAUACGGCUGGGAUCUUUCAGGAGAACGUUACAUCCUACAUCAGGCUACACACGGAUCCAACCGCUCUUCUUCUCCUGCUUGGGACGCUUUCUGACCGGCUGCAGUGAUUUGACUCACCGUUAGGAAUGAUGGGGAAGAGGGGCUGUGAAGAACUGCAGGCAGCAGGAAGCAGAGGUCAACACCAGAUCUCUGGGAUUUUGUUCUCCAAUGGACUCACAUGAGGUAUGAUGAGGACCCCGUGGAUCAUGACCCAGAAACAAAAGGCAUAACGACUGGACCCUCAGGGCUACAGACGUGAAGGAUAUUCCGCUGAUCUCAGAGGUGUCCUGAGUCCUCCUGAGAAAGAAGAAGGGUGCCUUCGUUUCAUCGAAGUAGGAGCUUCAAGACGUCCAUGAUGCUUCGUAACUCUCUACGACAUUUGGACCUGAAUUAAACUGUACUCUUAUUAUUGAACCUCUGUCAACAGGGAAAUGAAAUUGCACUAUCUUUGUGAGCCCUGUCACAAACACCAUAACCUUGCACUAAUGUAUCAGAUUAUAUUUAUUUUAUUUUUAUAAAAAGGGAGAAAACUACCUGUAUUACCUGUAUUUAUACCCUGUACUUG